GACGAACGCUGGCGGCGUGCCUAAUACAUGCAAGUAGAACGCACAGUUUAUACCGUAGCUUGCUACACCAUAGACUGUGAGUUGCGAACGGGUGAGUAACGCGUAGGUAACCUGCCUGGUAGCGGGGGAUAACUAUUGGAAACGAUAGCUAAUACCGCAUAAUAUUUAUUAUUGCAUGAUAAUUGAUUGAAAGAUGCUAUUGCAUCACUACCAGAUGGACCUUCGUUGUAUUAGCUAGUAGGUGAGGUAACGGCUCACCUAGGCGACGAUACAUAGCCGACCUGAGAGGGUGAUCGGCCACACUGGGACUGAGACACGGCCCAGACUCCUACGGGAGUCAGCAGUAGGGAAUCUUCGGCAAUGGACGAAAGUCUGACCGAGCAACGCCGCGUGAGUGAAGAAGGUUUUCGGAUCGUAAAGCUCUGUUGUAAGAGAAGAACGGGUGUGAGAGUGGAAAGUUCACACUGUGACGGUAUCUUACCAGAAAGGGACGGCUAACUACGUG
rnacentral:rRNA from 1 species